UUGCUUCAGUAACACCUAUACUGAAAUCAGAAUGAUACAGAGAAAAUUAGCAUGGCCCCUGCAAAGAUGACACACAAUAUUGUCAUCUUGUGUGACAAAGUGCUU
rfam:Otolemur garnettii contig088850, whole genome shotgun sequence.